GAAGGUUCAGAUACGUCUGAUUUCCCUGAGUUCUAUAAGAGGUUCAGAUACGUCUGAUUUACCUGGGUUCUAUAAGAGGUUCAGAUACGUCUGAUUUACCUGGGUUCUAUAAGAGGUUCAGAUACGUCUGAUUUACCUGGGUUCUAUAAGAGGUUCAGAUACUUCUGAUUUACCUGGGUUCUAUAAGAGGUUCAGAUACGUCUAAUUUCCCUGGGUUCUAGGAAGGUUCAGGUACGUCUGAUUGACCUGGGUUCUGUAAGGGUUCAGAUAAGUCUAACUUACCUGGGCUCUAGGAGGGUUCUAAUACGUCUGUGCUUUAGUGGACGGAGGGUCGAGCCUCGAGCGUUACAUGACCCCAAAGGAUUUGGUGCUUUCAGGCGAAUACAAGGGAUUCAUUUUAAGUCGACGUUUUGGUCUUUCUUGGACCAUAAUGUGUGACAGUGGUCCAGGAUGGACCAUAAUGUGGACGAACAUGUGAUAAUGGGCCACAUCUAACCAUAACAUAUCGUAAUGGCCCAGGGCGGACCAUGCAGUAGUGGCCCAGGGUGGACCAUACAGUAGUGGCCCAGGGUGGACCAUACAGUAGUGGCCCAGGGUGGAGCAUAUAGUGGCCCAGGGUGGACCAUGCAGUAGGGACUCAGGGUGGACCAUACAGUAGUGGCCAAGGGUGGAGCAUAUAGUGGCCCAUGUGGAGCAUAUAGUGGACCAUGCAGUAGUGGCCCAGGGUGGACCAUACAGUAGUGACCCAGAGUGGACCAUACAGUAAUGGUCCAGGGUGGACUAUACAGUAAUGGCCCAGGGUGAACCAUACAGUAGUGGUCCAGGGUGCACCAUACGGUAAUGGCCCAGGGUGAACUAUACAGUAGUGGUCCAGGGUGGACCAUGCAGUAAUGGUCCAGGGUGGACCAUGCAGUAAUGGUCCAGGGUGGAUCAUGCAGUGAUUACGAUCUAGGUUGGACUUUGACUUGUGAUAAUGGUUCAGGAUGGACCGUAACUUGUGAUAAUGGUCCAGGAUGGACCGUAACUUGUGAUAAUGGUCCAGGAUGGACAUCAGUGUUAUGCUCAAAUAUGGACGGUGACUUGUGAUAAUGGUUCAUAAUGGACCAUAAGACGUGAUUAUGGUCCUGGAUGAACCUCAUCACAGUAAUAAACCAGAAUGGACCAUAACACGUGUUUAUGGCUCAGGACGGACCGUAACGCAGUAAUGGACCAGAAUGGACCAUAACACGUGAUAAUGGACCAGGAUGGACUGUAAAACUCUUGCAAGAGUCUCUCAGUGUGAGCCAGUUUCUUGACGCUGGUGAGGGGGGCUCUUGAUCCGGGGAAUUUGAGCUUUGAUCUCCUUGAAUCAAACCUUACCUUUCCUCAAGGCGAGUAGGACCCAUGAGAGUUUAGCGUUUCCCCAUUAGUAUAAAAUUAUCGCAUAUAUGGGGAGGCGCUAAACACUCAUGGGUUGCAAUGCUCCUGGAGAAUGGGGCAACGUUUGAGGUAUAAAAAAAAAGGAGAAUAUAGCUCCAGCUCCCCGGACCAAGAGCUCUCACCGGCAUCAAAGACACUCCCUUAAGUCCUUAAGGGAGAUUAUUAUUAUUAAUUUAUUAGUAUUAUAAUCUUUAAUUAUUAUAGUAAAAUAUAUUGUAAACUUAAAAGGUAUUAUUAUUAUUAUUAUUAUUAUUAUUAUUAUUAUUAUUAUUGUAUUUCCUGAAACGUUCAAGCCUUGAGUCAUUCAGCUCAGCAGUGGUGUAGGCUCGAUCCUCCGUCUGGUUAUGGGAGCCCAGAGUGUGGUCAGCUAAGCUGUUGGUGCUCCCAAAAUUUGACUAGUCAAGCGUUCGUGUCGAACUUGAUCUAAGUUCUGACAGUCUUUAAUUUCAUUUUAGGGCAGUUUAACCCCCUUCACACGGGAGAUGGAGAGAGGAGGGGGGUGGUCUAAGUUCUUUACGUAAUGGGGUAAGCGCUAAACCCAUGUGGGCGAGGCAUCGUCUGGGAAGGCGAGUGGUAAUCAAAGCUUGACCCGAGGAAAGGGAUGGGUAGCUCCAGUUUCCUGGGUUAGUGCGUGUUGCCAUUCUCUAUCUUCCAUUCAGUCACCUAUAUGACCUUGUAUGGGUUUAGCGCCCCUCCAACGGAUAUGAUAAAGUUCAUUGUCUAUAUUUCAAUGUCUUGAUUAAUGUGUAUUUGGUUGAGUGUUCAUUUGGUGAACAGUUUGUCUGGUUGACUGUCCUCGGUGUAAUUUCUUGUAGGAAACAGUACAGUGACACUCCAGCAUUUUAAAUGUUGGCCGGCAAGAUUUGUCGACAAGUGUGGUGUUUUGUGUGGCAAGACUUGUCGACAAGUGUGGUGUUUUGGGUGGCAAGACUUGUCGACAAGUGUGGUGUUUUGUGUGGCAAGACUUGUCGACAAGUGUGGUGUUUUGGGUGGCAAGACUUGUCGACAAGUGUGGUGUUUUGUGUGGCAAGACUUGUCGACAAGUGUGGUGUUUUGGGUGGCAAGACUUGUCGAAAAGUGUGAUAAAGAAAGGUACCACGUGCUGUGCAAAUUUUUAUCAACAGACAACGUUUCGCUCUGAGAUCGAAAAGUGUUGUAUAGGUGUCGCGUACUCAUGGGUCCAGUUCACUGGCUACACAAAAGAACCUUGUCUGCAUUUAGAAGGAUUCGCCAUUUUUUUUCUCUGAAUGAUCACAUGAAAUGCACUGAAAUCACUACUGCUGAGUACCUUUUUGAGAUCACUUCUGCUGAGUAACUUGCUGAGAUCAUUGCUGCUCAGUAAAUUUCUGAGAUCUCUUCUCCUGCGUAACCUUGAAACUACUACUGCUGAGAAAUUAUAGUUUCAGCAUUUUGUCGUGAUAAACUAUCUGAAGGCUUUUUUUUUUUUUUCCAAGUGCCC